GAAUGCUUGGGAAUUAAUGAAAGAGUACAGACUGGCCUCGGGCAUCAACACCUCAACGACGUCACAGCGCUUAAAGUUAGAAACCAAGUCUACGCGCGCAACUCAGCACAAAUAAGCUCAUCCAUAACAGAACAUACUCCACGUGUGCUCUACCAAGGAAGACAUAGCUUAGUGUCCAAUUUCUUCGUAACUCCCGGAUCAUCUCGGUGACCCCAAACAGUUGGAGCGUUGUGUGGAUCUUCAGGUUUGGACGUCGCACCACCAUGGUUCUUCAUGAUGACAGCCCACCCCAAACAGUUGGAGCGUUGUGUGGAUCUUCAGGUUUGGACGUCGCACCACCAUGGUUCUUCAUGAUGACAGCCCACCCCAAACAGUUGGAGCGUUGUGUGGAUCUUCAGGUUUGGACGUCGCACCACCAUGGUUCUUCAUGAUGACAGCCCACCCCAAACAGUUGGAGCAUUGUGUGGAUCUUCAGGUUUGGACGUCGCACCACCAUGGUUCUUCAUGAUGACAGCCCACCCCAAACAGUUGGAGCGUUGUGUGGAUCUUAAGGUUUGGACGUCGCACCACCAUGGUUCUUCAUGAAGACAGGGUGCUUUCCGGGUGUAUUCAUUGUCCCCAGAAUUGCCUCUACUGGUCACUACAGACCACUGAGCAGGUCCAGAUCUUUGCACAAGUGAAAAGGAUAUUAAACUAUACAAGAGAACAUCACAUUAAUGAGAACCAUAUGUACAUUGUGUACAGGCAGUUUAGAAAAAUGUGCAGCACUCACUAUAUAUGCUCAUCUACAUAUGAGCCUCUUUGCAACCUUGCCUACAUCUGGAAGAGACCAGAGACCCUUGAUUAUCUCAAGGAGCUAUCCACCAACCCCAUCAGUCCAAUGUAUUCCUGGAAAUUGUGUGCGUUCGUGCACGUGUGUGUGUGUGUGUGUGUGUGUGUGUGUGUGUGUGUGUGUGUGUGUGUGAGAAGUUGGGGGUGUUUUUUUGUCUGUAAUGGGGCCAAGGUACUCUAGUGUGGAGAAGGGAAAGUGUGUUUUGUUGGAUUUUUUGUUUGCUUAUGCUAAACUGUCAGUUUGGGUAGGAGAAACUGGAUCAGAGGGUCGUGGGCAAUAAGACCCUGGGGUUUAGGGGAAUGGUUUCUACGUGCCUUCAUUUAUGUUUCACUACAUGAUUAAAAGUAUGUAAUUGUUUGGGGACGGGGGGUGUCAGGGGUUGUCUGUGUGAUUGUUCAGUAAUGCGGGAGACUCGCUCUCCUCGCUUCCAUUACCCCCCCUUGUGCUCCCUCUCCCUUCUCAAGGGGGGCUGGCAGGGAGCAAAGGGGGGGCAAGGCAAGUUGGCAGGUUGGCAAGGCGGUCAGCAAGAGAGUGGGUAUGACAGUCAGAGGGGUUAGACGAGUCAUUUUCAACUCACUUUAAAACAUGUUUUGAUUGACCUGGAAACGACAGGUCUCACGACCUUGACUGUCCCACCUACUAUCUGGACUCUUACGGAAGAGACUGCCACGGUCUUGAUAGAGCAUCCAAAGUGGUCUCACAGGUUAAGCUGCAGACUUGACCUGUGCUGAUGACUGCAAGUCAUAGAAAAUGAUUUGUCCUUCCUCUUGACUCACCAUGGAUUUGAACUUACGCUCAUUGGAGUCAAAGUCAGCAG
ensembl:lncRNA